AAACCAUGGUGGUAUCGUAUAAAAACCCAGCCAAAAGUGCAUAUGUCCAUUGCACUGCGUGUGUGCUGACCCCUGUGAUUUCCCCAAAUGCGGGAAACUCAACUGCAUAAUUUGUGGUAGUGGGGGACUGCGUUCGUGCUUUCCACAA
rnacentral:snRNA from 1 species